CGGUGCAUACAUUCGUAAUGGCCCCAACCCUCAGUUCCUCCCUCGUGGACCUUACCACCUGUUCGAUGGUGAUGGUAUGCUUCACUCCAUUCGAAUCUCCAAGGGCAAGGCCACCUUGUGUAGCAGAUAUGUAAAGACGUACAAGUACUCCAUUGAAAACCAAAUGGGUUCUCCCGUUUUCCCCAAUGUUUUCUCCGGCUUUAACGGCCUAACCGCCGCUGCCACUCGCGGUGCUCUCUCCGCUGUCAGAAUUCUAUCCGGUGAGUUCAAUCCUGCAAACGGUAUUGGUCUUGCAAACACUAGUUUGGCCUUGUUUGGGAACCGUCUCUACGCGCUUGGUGAGUCAGAUCUACCUUACUCCAUACGCUUAACAUCCACAGGGGAUAUACAAACAUUGGGUCGCAUUGAUUUUAAUGGAAAGUUGUUCAUGAGCAUGACUGCUCACCCUAAGAUAGACGAUGACACCGGCGAGGCCUUUGCUUUCCGAUAUGGGCCUGUGCCUCCAUAUCUAACUUAUUUUCACUUUGAUGCUAAUGGAAAUAAGCAACCAGAUGUGCCUAUAUUC
rnacentral:lncRNA from 1 species